rnacentral:rRNA from 1 species
CGCCUGUUUAUCAAAAACAUCUCUUCUCGUUAGUUUUUGAAGUAUGGCCUGCCCACUGACCUUGAAUGUUGAAGGGCCGCGGUAUUUUGACCGUGCAAAGGUAGCAUAGUCAUUAGUUCUUUAAUUGUGAUCUGGUAUGAAUGGCUUGACGAGGCAUAAGCUGUCUUAAUUUUGAAUUGUUUAUUGAAUUUGUUCUUUGAGUUAAAAUUCUUAGAUGUUUUUAUGGGACGAGAAGACCCUAUAGAGUUUGACAUUUAUUAUGGUCUCUUUUUGUUUGUGAGGGUUCACUAGGGCUGUUUAAUAUGUUUUGUUGGGGUGAUGGGAGGGAUAUUAUUUAACCCCUCCUUUGUGUUGUUAUAUUUAUUUAUAUUUGCUUGAUCCAUUUAUUUUGAUUGUAAGAUUAAAUUACCUUAGGGAUAACAGCGUAA